AGCGGGGUAGCGCAGUGGUAGCGCGUUGGGCCCAUAACCCAAAGGUCGGUGGAUCAAAACCACUCUCCGCUA